rnacentral:rRNA from 1 species
UACGGGGGGGGCAAGCGUUGUUCGGAAUUACUGGGCGUAAAGGGCUCGUAGGCGGCCAACUAAGUCAGACGUGAAAUCCCCAGGCUCAACCUGGGAACUGCGUCUGAUACUGGAUGGCUUGAAUCCGGGAGAGGGAUGCAGAAUUCCAGGUGUAGCGGUGAAAUGCGUAGAUAUCUGGAGGAAUACCGGUGGUGAAGACGGGUGACUGGGCUGGUUCUGACACUGAGGCACGAAAGCGUGGGGAGCGAACGGG